AUCCCUUCGCAGUGGCAGUAUCGUGAGUUUAUGAGGUCAAUCUGAGGCGUGAUUAUUGCUAGUUGAAAACUUUAACUAAUCACUUGACAACCUGAAAUAUAGUCGGCAAUGGUAAUUUUUGAUAUCUCUAUGGAGA